rnacentral:rRNA from 1 species
AUUGAACGCUGGCGGCAUGCCUUACACAUGCAAGUCGAACGGCAGCACGGGUGCUUGCACCUGGUGGCGAGUGGCGAACGGGUGAGUAAUACAUCGGAACAUGUCCUGUAGUGGGGGAUAGCCCGGCGAAAGCCGGAUUAAUACCGCAUACGAUCUACGGAUGAAAGCGGGGGACCUUCGGGCCUCGCGCUAUAGGGUUGGCCGAUGGCUGAUUAGCUAGUUGGUGGGGUAAAGGCCUACCAAGGCGACGGUCAGUAGAUGGUCUGAGAGGACGACCAGCCACACUGGGACUGAGACACGGCCCAGACUCCUACGGGAGGCAGCAGUGGGGAAUUUUGGACAAUGGGCGAAAGCCUGAUCCAGCAAUGCCGCGUGUGUGAAGAAGGCCUUCGGGUUGUAAAGCACUUUUGUCCGGAAAGAAAUCCUUGGCUCUAAUACAGUCGGGGGAUGACGGUACCGGAAGAAUAAGCACCGGCUAACUACGUG